UCUACAAACCGGGACUCCCAAAGCUGGAGAUGCUGCAGAACCACCUGGAAGAUGUCGUGCACCGCACCCUCCCUGCUCUCGAGCAGCACCUGGAGGAGCAGGGAUUGAACCUCAAGGACUGCACUGCACACUGGUUCACACAGUGUUUUCUGGAUGUGGCUCCAUUCCCCCUGGCACUGAGGGUGUGGGACAUCUUCAUCCUGGAAGGAGAGCAUGUGCUCACCACAAUGGC